UACGAAGGGGGCUAGCGUUGCUCGGAAUCACUGGGCGUAAAGCGCACGUAGGCGGAUUGCUAAGUCAGGGGUGAAAUCCUGGAGCUCAACUCCAGAACUGCCUUUGAUACUGGCGAUCUCGAGUUCGGGAGAGGUGAGUGGAACUGCGAGUGUAGAGGUGAAAUUCGUAGAUAUUCGCAAGAACACCAGUGGCGAAGGCGGCUCACUGGCCCGAUACUGACGCUGAGGUGCGAAAGCGUGGGGAGCAAACGGGG
rnacentral:rRNA from 1 species